AGUUCAUGCUUAUUAUACCUGUGUCACCUUUCACACUAUAGCUGUGAUCAUGAGCUAUGGGCUUUGUAGAUACAGGUCCCGGGGUGAAUCGUGGUGCAGGGUCCCUUCUCUUUUUGACCACAGGGCGAUGCACGAAGAUGCACAAGAACCAGAGGGGGAUUCAAUGGAGCCUGAAUACCUGCAUUGAGACCCUCACCCUGCACCCUGAGUCUCAACUCUGUGUUUUUCAAGCCUUUCCCUGUUUUUUUGUAUUAAACAAAACAUUAAGCUUU